rnacentral:rRNA from 1 species
AACGAACGCUGGCGGCAGGCCUAACACAUGCAAGUCGAGCGCGCCCUUCGGGGUGAGCGGCGGACGGGUGAGUAACGCGUGGGAACGUGCCCUUUUCUACGGAAUAGCCUCGGGAAACUGAGAGUAAUACCGUAUACGCCCUUUGGGGGAAAGAUUUAUCGGAAAAGGAUCGGCCCGCGUUGGAUUAGGUAGUUGGUGGGGUAAUGGCCUACCAAGCCGACGAUCCAUAGCUGGUUUGAGAGGAUGAUCAGCCACACUGGGACUGAGACACGGCCCAGACUCCUACGGGAGGCAGCAGUGGGGAAUCUUAGACAAUGGCGGCAACCCUGAUCUAGCCAUGCCGCGUGAGUGAUGAAGGCCUUAGGGUUGUAAAGCUCUUUCAGCUGGGAAGAUAAUGACGGUACCAGCAGAAGAAGCCCCGGCUAACUCCGUG